UCCAAGCUGGUACUGCCGUUGCUCCAGAUGUCCGUGCCAUUUGCUGUCCCUUCUUCCCCCUAGCUGCAACAACGAGUGGCGCCUGGACGUCUACACGUACUCGCCCGAGCCCCCUCCGAGCCACGUCGUCUUGCUGCCGCCGCCGGAAGCCACCGGCCUCCACCUUCGUCUCCCGGCCGAGUUGCUACCUUCCCCAAGGCCGAGCAAAGCAGAGGCAUCAUCUGCGUCGCCUGCUGCCGCCAGAAACACCUGCGUUGCCGCUCCGCUCUACACGGACGACCGGUACCGUCUCACUCCGCUCGCCGUUGCUGGCACGAGCCGCUACCUAGACCUCCUCCACUGCUCACGCACCCGUUCUCUCUCUCGCUCCCCCGCGUUCACCCCUC
rnacentral:rRNA from 1 species